rnacentral:piRNA from 1 species
UCAAAAACUGUGCCCUAGAGUAAAAGUGU